rnacentral:tRNA from 1 species
UAAUAAGAAGUAAAUUACUACAUAUUAAUUUCGACUUAAUACUUGAUAAAUAAAUCUAUCCUUAUUAA